UUAGGGAGAGCCACUGAAGGAAAAAAUAUUCGGAUUUGGUAACUGCUUAUGGCAGGGGUUGAAAGAGUCGGGGGUGAUACAGUGUGUAAUCGGCUUCCCCCAAGAAAACACAGUGUAAAUAAUUUUAGAAUUGUUUUAGCUCAUGAAUUUUAGUCGAGUGCAUCUUCGGGCGGGGAGGGGGCGGGGAACCUAACCUGUUUUAUUUACCCAGCCAAGUGCCUAAUGCAGAGUACCUAGUAAACGUUUGCCAUCUGAAUGACCGCGUGGCUGGGCGCGCCCCAUCCACCAUCGAGGUGCUGGAAGGUUUGUGGAGCCAAGCCCCACCUGGGAGGCACGAGGUGGAGUAGGAAAAGAUUGAAGGGUUAGGGGACCACUGUUUUACUGGUUUCUAAUCUGACUCUCCCAUCUGCUGUUCUGGGCGAUACAGUAGAAACAGCUGCUCAAAUGCACAAGGAAUGGAUGUGCCUGAACCUGCCUCUGACUCCCAGGUGGUAAGGUGUUUUUCGUGUUUGUAUUCAGGCCCCUGUGCCUCUGCUUUGGCCCUGUCACAGAUGAAAGGGAAUUGCUCGUCACUAAGAGCAUGCAAACACACUCAGCCAUUAGAGGCAGGUAUACAGACUCAAUUUCCAGAUCAAUAAACAGCUUGACUUCAAAAA